rnacentral:guide_RNA from 1 species
AAACAAAAAUCUAAUAGAAAACGAGAACUGAGUAAUUGAUAUAAU